rnacentral:lncRNA from 1 species
AUGUCCAAGUUCCUCCAAUCAUGAUCCCAUUGGACCAGCACUCAGUGCCUCUAAGGGAGAAUUACACAUUUUGUUAGUCACCUCUGGUCUGCCUGGAUCUGAUGAGUCAUCAGACCUGCUGCUCUGGGUUGAAUAGAAGUGUCUAGCCACGUGGAUGACGAAUCCUGGGCUAAUUUGAUUUUGCUAGGAAUCCAUUUGAAAAGCAGCUCAGAGAACAGAGAAAUGAGCUCCCUUCUUCCUCCCCACUGUGAACUCCAGCUGAGGAACUGGCGAAAAUGGCCCCAUCUCUCUUGGAGUGGUUGCCCAGACCUCCUUGGGAGAAGGGCAGAGAGUUGCUGCUGUUUUCUGGAAAGAAGUCAGUCCGUCAAAAGCAUAACUUCUUCCAGGUCUAGUUGGUGUGAAAACAGACUGACACCUUCACCUCUCCAAGAUGUUAUUUGAGCAACUGUUAUUAAGAUGCAACAAAGUUGGAAGCUGCUUCCUGCCCACCCUGCUCAGACCUUCAGAGCAAAACAAUAAACAAUCACAAAUAUAAC